rnacentral:rRNA from 1 species
GACGAACCGUGCGAACGUUGUUCGGAAUCACUGGGCUUAAAGGGCGCGUAGGCGGCUCCGCAAGUCGGGGGUGAAAUCUUUCGGCUUAACCGGAAGAGUGCCUCUGAUACUGCGGAGCUCGAGGGAGGUAGGGGCGGACGGAACUUCCGGUGGAGCGGUGAAAUGCGUUGAUAUCGGAAGGAACGCCCGUGGCGAAAGCGAGUCCCUGGACCCUUUCUGACGCUGAGACGCGAAAGCCAGGGGAGCGAACGGG